rnacentral:misc_RNA from 1 species
UCCGUGUUAACCACGGCAGUCUCCUCAGAGUGCCCAACUUAAUGCUGGCAACAGAGGACAGGGGUUGCGCUCGUUGCGGGACUUAACCCAACAUGUCACCACACGAGCUGACGACAGCCAUGCAGCAUCUGUCACCCGGUCUACCGAAGUAGAAAGCUCUAUCUCUAGAGUUGUCCGGGGAUGUCAAACCCAGGUAAGGUUCUUCGCGUUGCUUCGAAUUAAACCACAUGAUCCACCGCUUGUGCGGGUCCCCGUCAAUUCCUUUGAGUUUUAGUCUUGCGACCGUACUCCCCAGGCGGGGUACUUAGCGCGUUAGCUACGACUCGGCAGGGGUCAAGUCCCACCAAAUCUAGUACCCAUCGUUUACAGCGUGGACUAC